GAUGAACGCUGGCGGCGUGCCUAAUACAUGCAAGUCGAUCGAACAGCCGUGCUGCUUGCUCCUUCCACGUUAGCGGCGGACAGGAGCGUAACACGUACGUAACCUACCUAUAGGACUGGCAUACCUUCGGGACUCCGGAGCCCAUACCAGAUAAUACUUCCACACGUAUGGUUCGAUGGAGAAAGAUGCUUUUGCUAUCACUUAUAGACGGAUCUGGUCAUGAUUGGCUAGUUGGUAAGGUAACGGCUUACCAAGGCAACGGUAAGUAGCCGACAUGAGCGGGAGAUCGGGCAGACUGGAACGGGUACACGGUCCAGAGGCGUCCGGGAGGCAGCAGUAGGGAAUCUUCCGCAAAGGGCUGAAGACUGACGGAGAAACGCCGCGUGAGUGAUGAAGGUCUUCGGUUCGUAAAACGCAGUUAUUAGGGAAGAACAAACGUGUAAGUAACUGAGCACGACAUGACGGUACCUAAUCAGAAAGCCACGGCUAACUACGUG
rnacentral:rRNA from 1 species